rnacentral:lncRNA from 1 species
AAACUAAAAAAAAAAACGCUUGUAACAUAGGUCAUUUCAUCUGAGUCAACAGUCAACAGUCAACAGUCAACGUUAAGCAUUUAAGCUAGCUUCGAAAAUUACCAAUGAUUCAUAGUCAAGUCAGAGUAAACUUGAAAGUCGUGCAACCUACUGUCAACUAUUUUUUUCAAACUCAUUGUAAUCUACUGCGUCAUCGAAAUGAUACAGGAUUAAUCUUAAUUAUCGGCUGUUUCUAUUGAACUUGCUAGAUCACCGACCCCAGCAUGGAACAAUCUCUCAUUCCAUCUUAUCUUGGAUAACUGAUUGGUUUCUAAAUUGGCAUGACUUACUUUAUGAGAAGUUAUGUCCUUUCAAGAAAAAGGACUUACAGUCGACAAGAUUCCUUGUUUGCUAACCUGUUGGCUGCUACCCUUGAAUCUCCCUAUUUGUCAACAACAAAAAAAGAGGUUAAAUAUUGUGAUCAUGCCUAUCAUCAUUAUGAUGCCUAUAAGACCAAAUGUGGGGCAUCUGGUUAUCACUCCAAAAUAAGGUAAUGACCACACGUUCAACGCGGAUCAUUCGCUUUGUCAUCGAACUUGACUCAUUCCAUCUUCUGGAUUGCUUAGGAAAGCUGAUUGGUGUUACCUGUGUAACUUCAUUGUCAUGUCACUGAAUUUAAAUUUUGUUUACAUUUUGUUUCUUGAUUUAGCCAUUUAGGUAAUGACCGAGAAGAUGCGGCCUUCAUGAACAUCAUUUAGGCGGCCAGCAUCAUUCGACUACCCAACCGGCUUCUACUACCCUGCUCUCAACACAGCACGUAGUUUUACCCUUAGAUUUUUGGCUGUUCGCGAUGUGUGAUGGCGUUUCCUUGGACGAGAUGAUGAUUUUGGCGAGAAAAAUAUUGCGGUAAUCCUUCGCUACUGAUCAUGGACUCCAUUGGUGAAAC